GUGAAGAAGGACUAGCAUUCUGGGGUAUUUCAAAAUGGUUCCUUUUCCCACUCCCUGCAGUUAGCAGGGAGAAUUUUUCUCAGAUACUGACAGUGUGAACCUGGUCUAACUCCUUCAGGUUUGAUUUUCCUACCGGGGAGCUGGUUCCUGUGGUGGCUUCUGCUUGCUGGUCUCUGCUUGGGGGCUGCAAAGCACAGAUAGCAGAAUUCCUGACACAAGCUGAUGCCAGUCCAAGAAGGGGACGUGAAAUGCCUGGGGACACAACUAGCAGGAAGCACGUGUGAUCUGCAGGGGAGGUCUCCAUGCCAAGAAAUGGAAGCAUCUUGCUCAUGGCCACAUAAUGGGGCUCAGAGCAGCAUUUCACUAGCAGAACCGACUGCGGCUCAGACUUACAGUUGGACCGUGACGUCAGGAGUGCUCCUGAGACAGAACCACUCAGAUAAUCUCCGUCUAGAUUCCUCAGCCUCAUAACCUGAGUGGAUUUAAUACAUGUUUGAUUUCUUGACUAUGUUAACAUUUGAGGCAAUUCUUACACAGCAGUGUUCAAUAAUAUGUUCUAUAGGCAUUUGAG